GAUGAACGCUGGCGGCGUGCCUAAUACAUGCAAGUCGAGCGAACAGACGAGGAGCUUGCUCCUCUGACGUUAGCGGCGGACGGGUGAGUAACACGUGGAUAACCUACCUAUAAGACUGGGAUAACUUCGGGAAACCGGAGCUAAUACCGGAUAAUAUAUUGAACCGCAUGGUUCAAUAGUGAAAGACGGUUUUGCUGUCACUUAUAGAUGGAUCCGCGCCGCAUUAGCUAGUUGGUAAGGUAACGGCUUACCAAGGCAACGAUGCGUAGCCGACCUGAGAGGGUGAUAGGCCACACUGGAACUGGGACACGGUCCAGACUCCUACGGGAGGCAGCAGUAGGGAAUCUUCCGCAAUGGGCGAGAGCCUGACGGAGCAACGCCGCGUGAGUGAUGAAGGUCUUCGGAUCGUAAAACUCUGUUAUUAGGGAAGAACAAAUGUGUAAGUAACUAUGCACGUCUUGACGGUACCUAAUCAGAAAGCCACGGCUAACUACGUG
rnacentral:rRNA from 1 species